rnacentral:rRNA from 1 species
UACAGAGGUCCCAAGCGUUGUUCGGAUUCACUGAGCGUAAAGGGUGCGCCGGUGGGUUUGCAAGUUCGAUGUGAAAGCCCCGGGCUUAACCCGGGAAUGGCAUUGGAUACUGCAGAUCUGGAGGAUCGGAGGGGGGACUGGAAUUCUUGGUGUAGCAGUGAAAUGCGUAGAUAUCAAGAGGAACACCAGUGGCGAAGGCGAGUCCCUGGACGAUACCUGACACUGAGGCACGAAAGCUAGGGGAGCAAACGGG